rnacentral:rRNA from 1 species
ACCGUGCGAAGGUAGCGUAAUCACUUGUUCUUUAAAUGUGGACUAGUAUGAAUGGCACCACGAAGGUUAUACUGUCUCCUUUUUCUAAUCAGUGAAACUAAUCUCCCCGUGAAGAAGCGGGGAUAAAGCUAUAAGACGAGAAGACCCUAUGGAGCUUUAAACAACAUAGCACUCCACACACCAUUAAUUCCAGAAUCUUCAACAAUAUGACUAUAAGUUUUUGGUUGGGGUGACCGCGGAGCAUAACACAACCUCCAUGUUGAAAGAAUUAUUUUCUAAGCUAAGAACUACAACUCUAAGCAUCAACAUAUUGACAUCCAUUGACCCAAACACUUGAACAACGAACCAAGUUACCCUAGGGAUAACAGCGCAAUCCACUUCAAGAGCUCCUAUCGACAAGUGGGUUUACGACCUCGAUGUUGGAUCAGGGUUUCCCAGUGGUGCAGCCGCUACUAAAGGUUCGUUUGUUCAACGAUUAAAACCCUACGUG